UGAGGAAUCUUGCGCAAUGGGGGAAACCCUGACGCAGCCACGCCGCGUGGGUGAAGAAGGCCUUCGGGUUGUAAAGCCCUGUCAGGUGGGAAGAACCGCAGUCUGGCCAAUACCUGGACUGCUUGACGGUACCACCAAAGGAAGCACCGGCUAACUCCGUGCCAGCAGCCGCGGUAAUACGGAGGGUGCAAGCGUUGUUCGGAAUUACUGGGCGUAAAGCGCGUGUAGGCGGACCGGUAAGUUGGGAGUGAAAGCCCUGGGCUCAACCCAGGAAGUGCUUCCAAUACUGCCGGCCUUGAGUUCCGGAGAGGGUGGUGGAAUUCCCCGGUGUAGAGGUGAAAUUCGUAGAUAUCGGGAGGAACACCAGUGGCGAAGGCGACCACCUGGACGAGAACUGACGCUGAGACGCGAAAGCGUGGGGAGCAAACAGGAUUAGAUACCCUGGUAGUCCACGCCGUAAACGGUGUUCACUAGGUGUAGCGGGUAUUGACCCCCCGCUGUGCCGCAGCUAACGAUUAAGUGAACCGCCUGGGGAGUACGGCCGCAAGGUUAAAAACUCAAAUGAACUUGACGGGGUCAUAGCUGUUUCCU
rnacentral:rRNA from 1 species